GAUGAACGCUGGCGGCGUGCCUAAUACAUGCAAGUCGAGCGAACAGAUAAGGAGCUUGCUCCUUUGACGUUAGCGGCGGACGGGUGAGUAACACGUGGGUAACCUACCUAUAAGACUGGAAUAACUCCGGGAAACCGGGGCUAAUGCCGGAUAACAUUUAGAACCGCAUGGUUCUAAAGUGAAAGAUGGUUUUGCUAUCACUUAUAGAUGGACCUGCGCCGUAUUAGCUAGUUGGUAAGGUAACGGCUUACCAAGGCAACGAUACGUAGCCGACCUGAGAGGGUGAUCGGCCACACUGGAACUGAGACACGGUCCAGACUCCUACGGGAGGCAGCAGUAGGGAAUCUUCCGCAAUGGGCGAAAGCCUGACGGAGCAACGCCGCGUGAGUGAUGAAGGUCUUCGGAUCGUAAAACUCUGUUAUUAGGGAAGAACAAAUGUGUAAGUAACUGUGCACGUCUUGACGGUACCUAAUCAGAAAGCCACGGCUAACUACGUG
rnacentral:rRNA from 1 species